GUUUAUGACGUUCUUUCACAAAAGAGUAUAAUCAUUCUUAGACUGUUGACAUGGCUGUGGAAAGCCUUAGGAGAAGUAGAAACAAUUUAGGGAGGGUGGGGAAUGUACUCAUCGCCUCUUCUUUCCAUCCUAGUGCCCCCACCAAAGAGGCUUCUUGUUGCGGCCCUCAGUAUCUGGAUAUGGGCCAGGGAGGAAGGAAGGGAAAGAGCAAUGCUGCUGUGCUUCAAUCCUGGCCUUCCCCUCACAGAAUUCUUUUAGGAAGAGCAAGCUUUUAAUCCUUUGAACUUGUAGAACAUCUGGGAGUCCACUUCCCUGUCCUCUUCCUGAUCCCUGCUUUCUGGACUGUUUAAAUCCUCUUUGGGAUGGAUCAGAGAGUCUAGAGAGGCCACUCAUAGGUCCAGCUGCUGGCCUCCUGACUCUCCAAAGCUUUCACUGGAAUUGGGACAUUUGCUCCAGCCCUAGCUGUGAACAUGACCAGAGACAUUAUUUAUAAUUCAGCCAUUUAAGAUAUACCUGUACUCAAAAAGUCCUGUAUAUUUUUAAAAAGUUUUAUUUUUCAGGUGAAGAAAAAUACAUCCUAAGAACUCUGCCUAA
rnacentral:sRNA from 1 species